AUUCGUUGCACUAUCGUUAACUGAAUACAUAGGUUAACGAGGCGAACCGGGGGAACUGAAACAUCUAAGUACCCCGAGGAAAAGAAAUCAACCGAGAUUCCCCCAGUAGCGGCGAGCGAACGGGGAGCAGCCCAGAGUCUGAAUCAGCUUGUGUGUUAGUGGAACGGUCUGGAAAGUCCGACGGUACAGGGUGAUAGUCCCGUACACCAAAAUGCACAGGCUGUGAACUCGAAGAGUAGGGCGGGACACGUGGUAUCCUGUCUGAAUAUGGGGGGACCAUCCUCCAAGGCUAAAUACUCCUGACUGACCGAUAGUGAACCAGUACCGUGAGGGAAAGGCGAAAAGAACCCCGGCGAGGGGAGUGAAAAAGAACCUGAAACCGUGUACGUACAAGCAGUGGGAGCACCUUCGGGUGUGACUGCGUACCUUUUGUAUAAUGGGUCAGCGACUUAUAUUCUGUAGCAAGGUUAACCGUAUAGGGGAGCCGCAGGGAAACCGAGUCUUAACUGGGCGUUAAGUUGCAGGGUAUAGACCCGAAACCCGGUGAUCUAGCCAUGGGCAGGUUGAAGGUUGGGUAACACUAACUGGAGGACCGAACCGACUAAUGUUGAAAAAUUAGCGGAUGACUUGUGGCUGGGGGUGAAAGGCCAAUCAAACCGGGAGAUAGCUGGUUCUCCCCGAAAGCUAUUUAGGUAGCGCCUCGUGAACUCAUCUUCGGGGGUAGAGCACUGUUUCGGCUAGGGGGUCAUCCCGACUUACCAACCCGAUGCAAACUACGAAUACCGAAGAAUGUUAUCACGGGAGACACACGGCGGGUGCUAACGUCCGUCGUGAAGAGGGAAACAACCCAGACCGCCAGCUAAGGUCCCAAAGUCAUGGUUAAGUGGGAAACGAUGUGGGAAGGCACAGACAGCCAGGAUGUUGGCUUAGAAGCAGCCAUCAUUUAAAGAAAGCGUAAUAGCUCACUGGUCGAGUCGGCCUGCGCGGAAGAUGUAACGGGGCUAAACCAUGCACCGAAGCUGCGGCAGCGACACUAUGUGUUGUUGGGUAGGGGAGCGUUCUGUAAGCCUGCGAAGGUGUGCUGUGAGGCAUGCUGGAGGUAUCAGAAGUGCGAAUGCUGACAUAAGUAACGAUAAAGCGGGUGAAAAGCCCGCUCGCCGGAAGACCAAGGGUUCCUGUCCAACGUUAAUCGGGGCAGGGUGAGUCGACCCCUAAGGCGAGGCCGAAAGGCGUAGUCGAUGGGAAACAGGUUAAUAUUCCUGUACUUGGUGUUACUGCGAAGGGGGGACGGAGAAGGCUAUGUUAGCCGGGCGACGGUUGUCCCGGUUUAAGCAUGUAGGCUGGUUAUCCAGGCAAAUCCGGAUAAUCAAGGCUGAGGUGUGAUGACGAGGCACUACGGUGCUGAAGUAACAAAUGCCCUGCUUCCAGGAAAAGCCUCUAAGCAUCAGGUAACAUCAAAUCGUACCCCAAACCGACACAGGUGGUCAGGUAGAGAAUACCAAGGCGCUUGAGAGAACUCGGGUGAAGGAACUAGGCAAAAUGGUGCCGUAACUUCGGGAGAAGGCACGCUGGUGUGUAGGUGAAGUCCCUGCGGAUGGAGCUGAGACCAGUCGAAGAUACCAGCUGGCUGCAACUGUUUAUUAAAAACACAGCACUGUGCAAACACGAAAGUGGACGUAUACGGUGUGACGCCUGCCCGGUGCCGGAAGGUUAAUUGAUGGGGUUAUCCGUAAGGAGAAGCUCUUGAUCGAAGCCCCGGUAAACGGCGGCCGUAACUAUAACGGUCCUAAGGUAGCGAAAUUCCUUGUCGGGUAAGUUCCGACCUGCACGAAUGGCGUAAUGAUGGCCAGGCUGUCUCCACCCGAGACUCAGUGAAAUUGAACUCGCUGUGAAGAUGCAGUGUACCCGCGGCAAGACGGAAAGACCCCGUGAACCUUUACUAUAGCUUGACACUGAACAUUGAGCCUUGAUGUGUAGGAUAGGUGGGAGGCUUUGAAGCGUGGACGCCAGUCUGCGUGGAGCCAACCUUGAAAUACCACCCUUUAAUGUUUGAUGUUCUAACGUUGGCCCCUUACCGGGGUUGCGGACAGUGUCUGGUGGGUAGUUUGACUGGGGCGGUCUCCUCCCAAAGCGUAACGGAGGAGCACGAAGGUUAGCUAAUCCUGGUCGGACAUCAGGAGGUUAGUGCAAUGGCAUAAGCUAGCUUGACUGCGAGCGUGACGGCGCGAGCAGGUGCGAAAGCAGGUCAUAGUGAUCCGGUGGUUCUGAAUGGAAGGGCCAUCGCUCAACGGAUAAAAGGUACUCCGGGGAUAACAGGCUGAUACCGCCCAAGAGUUCAUAUCGACGGCGGUGUUUGGCACCUCGAUGUCGGCUCAUCACAUCCUGGGGCUGAAGUAGGUCCCAAGGGUAUGGCUGUUCGCCAUUUAAAGUGGUACGCGAGCUGGGUUUAGAACGUCGUGAGACAGUUCGGUCCCUAUCUGCCGUGGGCGCUGGAGAAUUGAGGGGGGCUGCUCCUAGUACGAGAGGACCGGAGUGGACGCAUCACUGGUGUUCGGGUUGUCAUGCCAAUGGCACUGCCCGGUAGCUAAAUGCGGAAGAGAUAAGUGCUGAAAGCAUCUAAGCACGAAACUUGCCCCGAGAUGAGUUCUCCCUGAGACUUUAAGUCUCCUGAAGGAACGUUGAAGACGACGACGUUGAUAGGCCGGGUGUGUAAGCGCAGCGAUGCGUUGAGCUAACCGGUACUAAUGAACCGUGAGGCUUAACCUU
rnacentral:rRNA from 1 species